rnacentral:rRNA from 1 species
AGUGAACGCUGGCGGCAGGCCUAACACAUGCAAGUCGAGCGGCAGCGGGUCCCCGCGAGGGGAUGCCGGCGAGCGGCGGACGGGUGAGGAACACAUCGGAAUCUGCCUGGUUGUGGGGGAUAACGUAGGGAACUUACGCUAAUACCGCAUGCGACCCUGAGUCGACGGACUGGGGGUGAAAGUGAGGGACCUUCGGGCCUCACGCGACCAGAUGAGCCGAUGUCGGAUUAGCUAGUUGGCGGGGUAACGGCCCGCCAAGGCGACGAUCCGUAGCUGGUCUGAGAGGAUGAUCAGCCACACUGGGACUGAGACACGGCCCA